GCUGGGCAUGGUGACGUGUACCUACAGUCCCAGCUAUUCGGGAGGCUGAGAUGGGAGGAUCACUUGAGGCUAAGAGUUCAAGGCUGCAGUGAGCCGUAAUGGUGCCGCACACUGCACUCUAGCCUAGACAACAAAGUGAUAUCCCAUCUCUA
ensembl:misc_RNA Metazoa_SRP Metazoan signal recognition particle RNA